GGUACAGCCAUGUCCACCACGCGUCCGACUUCCGGGCGGCAGCCAACCAAAUCUCAAUUGUGAAAAUCAGUCGAGGGGUUGGUUUUCGCCCACCAGGUGGCACUCGAAUUCGUGCCUAGUCAUGUAUUGGACGGGGAACUGGGGAGGAUCGUCUGCUGUCUGUGUGUCUGUCUAGCGUGUCACGAAAUUUCUUACUGUGUGAUUCAAGUGCUCUACCAACACUAUUAGUUUGUGUGGAGGAAAAGAUGUCAUCUUUAAUUGUGACCAUAAUCUGCCUUGCUCUGUUUGGGUGAAAACAGAAGAAUAAAUUUGGAAAAAGCUGUUGGAUCAGACGAGUUAUGGACUUCAAGAAAAUUUGGUAUCAGAACACUUGGCUAACCCAAUAACCUUCCACUUUUGGUUGCAGUUUGCAAAACAGCUGACAGACGCCCGUUCCCAAGUCCAAGGAGUUCUGUCGUGGCAAGCUGAUUGCGCAGCAACUGGAGAAAGUGUUUGUCGAGCAAACAAACUGCCAUGUCAAAUUCUUGUACCAAGACGAAAUCAGUGGCCAUAUUUCCAUCUUGGCUGCCACAAGUCCCGUUUUCUCUGCCAUGUUUUACCACAACCUUCAAGAGUCCAUGACGGGCAAAGUCUUAUUCGUCCAAGACAUCCGGCCACAGAUUUUCAAGGAGAUGCUACAUUACAUUUACUCCGGCCAGACUUUGGCUCCUUUGACGGACGCCAUGGCUCAACCUCUGUUCGUAGUUUCAAACAAAUACGCUAUCGAGGACCUGAAUGAGAAGUGCGUCCGUUAUCUGCUGAGAAGCAUCCGGACGAGUAAUGCCGUUGACUUAUUGGUCUGGGCAAAUCAUCUUCAUUCGGUGGAGAAAAUCGAAGAAGCGGCUCUUGACUUUGUGGCCAGAAAUUUCAAAAUCAUUUGUCAGUCGAAUGAAUGGCAGAACCUGAUGAAGAACUAUCCGGAGCUUGGAUUCCUGGUGGCUCGACGUUAUGUGUAGUAGCUGUUUUAAAAGAAAUACGCCAGCCGAAGAGUUUUGUAUAACUUUAAAUGGUCAGACAUUUGUCGUUUAUUUGUGUAAUGUUUAAUGUUUGAAGCUUCAUCGAUAAUAAAGACGAUUUCUUUUUUA